ensembl:lncRNA
UGAGAAGCCCCUGGACAAGAGCUCAGGUAUUUGGAAGGUGCCCUUCAGUCAGUCUGCAGUCAGGCAGGGGGGUGUUGUUCCCAGGACCCUCUUCUCAUCCCCUGUCCUUCACCAGGCUCUCUUCCUCCUGAGGCGGGAGUGCCGAGUCCUGCUUCUCUUCUUUGAUCCACUCCUGCUGAGGGUCUCCUGAGGUGUCUCUCUCUCUCGAAUUUGUGACAGAUUCUUGUCCUGUUUGCUGUCCUCCCCACACAUAGGUACCUCUGGGAGCCUGGAGCAAUAUGAGGGUCCCUGUCCUGUCCAUGUGACCCAUUUAAGUGUUGGAAUAACUGAGAUGGGGACAUGUUUGCGAGAACGUGGACCCACAGAGAGUGUGGGGUCAGAGUGGAAUGUCUGCUUCCGCGGUUGCUCUGACACUCUCAGAGCAGAGAUCUGCUGUAAGUCACCAGAUAGCGACCCUCGAGAGAAGGCUGGUGCAGUUGCCUGCAGGAGACGGGAGCUGCCAGGUGCGUCCUUGCUAAUGGCACGGACAGCUCACCCAGCAGAGACCCAGGUCCCCCAUCUCUGUCUCCAUGACCCCCUUCAUCCCUCCCCCAAGCCUGGCUUCCCAGCCCCUUCCCAGUGUUUCUCCCAUUGGUGUCAAGGCCAGCCUGCUCCAGAACACCGUGUCUAGAUGGGAAGGGGGACGCCUGAGUCACGGAGAAGGAUCAGCUUUGCUCAGAGAAGGCUGAUCCUGUGCUGCCCUGGGGUCUCUCGGGGUCUCUCCAGGUAGGGAAGCUCUGGCCUAGGUCCAGUGCUGAAGGCAGGAGCAGGGGCUCUGUCAGGAGGCUUCGGGACGCGGGGCAUUUGGAAGGUAGCCCCCAUCGCCACUGUUGUGCCCGGGGACCCAGCCUGUUCCCCUGGAGUCAGGAUCUAAUGCUUCCUGAGAAUUCCCGCUGACUCCAGUGUUGGUUUGAAAUAGAGGCAACAAGAGAAGGAAAACAAGCGCCGCUGAAUUUUGGGUCCUGCCCAGAUCCCAUCACUCACUCAGGCUGUGGAUAUUUCCCACGUGUCAGAAAACGUAGCUGUUGUUGAAUUGAGUAAUGAGACAGGAAGAGCCCCACCCCACAGAAAAAUGAAGAGAAGAACCCUGUACCCCAGUGUGGUUGAAGGCAGAGGACUGCACACAGCCCCACCUUGUCUGAGGCUCACCUCUGCUCAGGCGUGAGGCUUAGAGAAUGUGUGUCCCUGAGCGGGCCCAGGACCUCCUCUCAGAGCUGUGGCACAGGCACAGGCGGUUAUUGACUGAGCGGAGGGGGCAGAGGGACCCUGACGGGAAGGCCACUCUGCCGCCAUCUCGCCUGUCAGCCCCCACCCCUCCUGGCCUCUUGGCUCAUCUGCCUUCUCUGUGGUUUCCUCUUUCCCACCUGCCAUCUUUCAGUAUAAGUAUGCGCCCCACACACACCUCGUGCAGUUUCUCCUGAGCCCACUGGAAGUCCAAUAUUAGGUGGUUCCCCUUUCCUCUGUGGAGGUUGAAUAACUUUCAGAAUUUUCCUAUUCCCAUGACGAUAGUAACAAAACACACCUUUGGAAAAUGCAAUCCAGGGACCCAGUGCCACUGUCUUCAGAGCACAGGGUGACAGAUGUUCACACUGAACACACUUGGAAGCCACCAGCCGUGUCACAGACUGGUUUUCCCCAACCCUGGUUGCCUCCUUGGUGUUCCCUGCAGCCACUUGUCACUAGGCCCAGCUCUCUGAGCCUCCGCAGGUGACCUCUCUUGACCUCUAGCAGCACUGGUUAUCCCCAGAGGCACAGUUUUAUGCCUUUCUUGUACUGUCAUUUUCCCCUCACAUUAACCCUCUGAGACCAAUGUGAUGGUGGUUCCCACACUACAGAGGAGGAAUGGAGAGAACUCAGGGCGAUGACUUGGGACAAGGCGGGUGAGGGUCCAACAGGGACCCCACCGCAGUGCCAAUUUCUUCACCUACUAACUCUGCUGGGGAACGUAGCCUGGCAGCCUGGACACCAGGCCUGUUCAGUGCAGGAGAGGCGCUGAAAUCCGGCAGCGACCUGCAGCAGUCCUGGGGGUGGUUCACACGCACUUUUGAGCUCUCUCCUCUUUGGGUGGUUUGGAUCCUUGGCAGGUAUGAGGCUGUGAGCAGGGAAGGGACUGUCUUAAGGCCACUGCUACUGAGUGGCAGUGGCAGUUUUGAGCUUGGGCCAGUGAGGGACCAUUGUUUUUUCUCCGUUUGAUGAAAGAGAGCAGGCAGUGUGGCCAUCUGGGGUUACAUGUCCUCUUUCCAGAAGCCUUGCAUCUACAUAUGGUUGGGGCUGAACUUGAGUGAAGUCCUAGAGGGCAGUGUCUGUACUGCAUACCAGAUGCUACGUGAACCUGGAAUCCUCCUUUGCUGUUACCCCUUUGGAAAAAUUGGAAAAGCUACCUAUGAUAUUCAGUUAUCAUACACACAUGUACUAUGGUUGUAAAAUACUAUACACAG